ACCCAAUCUUCAUUCUUAUUUCUUAAAACCCAGAGGUGUUCUUCACUUUUCAGGGGGAUUGAUUGAUGAUACUUGUUGAUUAAUCCACGAAGAAUACCAAUACAUGGAUAAGUAGAGGGUAAAUAAAGUAUAAAACUGUAAUUCCUCAUGGCAUUUUCAUUCACGCAUACGCGACAGUUCGUGAGCAGACGAACUAUUGAAAGUGCCUUCCGCAGUCUAGCUACAUCCAGCCAGAUACUAGUAGAACCCAAAACAUUGUUUUGAUAAGUACUGUCAUAUUUCUUUUACAGAUUUUCAUUAAAUACCAAGCUGAUCCUACGAGCUACGACAGUUUUACCUACAAAUGUUUAGCGUUUCAUGCUGCAACUAGUAGUUUAUAUUCUAGGAUGUUAUGCCUAAAAUUGGAAUUCAGCUAUCAGAGAUUAGCAAAAUUCAAGUUCAAACUCUAGAUGGCGUUGAUGUGCGGCUAUGAUGAAGAUUAUGAGUGACAAGUUAAACGGGUGUUUUUUACGUUAUCCUAUUAUGUGUUUCAAAGGAUUUUUCGUCAAAAAAUUUACGAUUGCUUUUUGUAUGUGGUGGUGUUUCACCUUGUCAGCUAUGCCAGCUGCGAACCAGCAGCCUGCAUUCUUGCUAUCAAUGUACCACAAGGGAUCCUGACACUUUAAGAAGGCCACUAUUCCUCACAUGUAGAUCACCAUCCAGUUUAAGUACUGUUAAUGGAUCUCAAGCCUUUUGUUUAAACUUAGUGAUGUGUUCUCUCGUCAGUAGACAAUGACAGAGUCUUCAUAUACUUUGUGUUGCUAACCAUCAACCCUCAGCAUCCCAAGUAUCCAGAUUUCCAAGUUUCUCUGAUUAGCCAACCAUCAUCCAUACCCAUCAGCUCUUCAUUGCCGCUACUCUUCCUCUCUUCUUAGUCUGCGGAAUGCCAACAUUGAAUAAGGUUCAUCAUCAUUGCCUUUCCAUGCCAGCUCAUAUGGAUAGGCUUUAAUAACAUCUCCAUUUUUUGGACUGCAAAUAUUCAUGUUCCUUCGGUACAAUACUGCGGUUUUGACAAUUUCGGUAGCUUCACCCCCAGUGGACCACACGCAACUACAUUUUUUUCGCCUUCAUCUCCGUCUCGUCGUCUUCGCCUUC